rnacentral:rRNA from 1 species
CCAGCAGCCGCGGUAAUUCCAGCUCCAAUAGCGUAUAUUAAAGUUGUUGCGGUUAAAAAGCUCGUAGUUGGAUUUCUGCCGAGGACGACCGGUCCGCCCUCUGGGUGUGUAUCUGGUUUGGCCUGGGCAUCUUCUUGGAGAACGUAGCUGCACUUGACUGUGUGGUGCGGUGUCCAGGACUUUUACUUUGAGGAAAUUAGAGUGUUUCAAGCAGGCACACGCCUUGAAUACAUUAGCAUGGAAUAAUAAGAUAGGACCUCGGUUCUAUUUUGUUGGUUUCUAGAGCUGAGGUAAUGAUUAAUAGGGAUAGUUGGGGGCAUUAGUACUUAACUGUCAGAGGUGGAAUUCUCGGAUUUGUUAAAGACUAACUUAUGCGAAAGCAUUUGCCAAGGAUGUUUUCAUUAAUCAAGAACGAAAAU